AUAUUCGUAGAAACACGAUAACUAAUUUUGUUAUAACUGACCAUUGAUUGCAUUACGGUCAUGAUUUUGAUUGAGACAAUGUUCAAAUUCUUGAUGUUGAAAAGAAUAUUUUCAAACGGCUCACUUCAGAGAUGCUACAUAUUAAAUCUUAGAGAGAGAGAGUCUGAAUUUACAAACAAACACGGACUGUCUCGACCAUGCCUACUCGGCGAUCUUAGGUUGUGACCUCUCUGAUAAAUAUCGGCUAUUAUUUCAUGCUCAUUUGUGUUCGUACGGUUGACGAGAAAACAUUGACUACCUCUAUUUAUUAUAUUUAUUAGUUUUAUUAUUUCCGAAUUAAUGAUGUCUUUUUUAAAAAAAAUCUGUGUUAUUUUAUUAUUUUACGAUGUAACAUCAACACCUUACAAAAUGGCUUGAAUUCACAAUGCUGAUUACGGCAUGAUCGCUCAUAUCCCCAUCUUGGUGGUCAACAUUGAUGGACCAUAAUGUGUAAAUUCGCCCUGAAUUCUUGUACACGAAAAGGCAACUACACGGUGUGUCAAUUUCUCGCCCUCGUGUCGGAGACAACGUAUGUCGGGCUUAAAAUAUUUGUUUUCAACGCGACCACCACGUCACACAACGGUCAUUUUAAUGGAAUUGCAUUGUUGAAAAUGACUUCAAGGGAAGGCGAAAUGCGUCCGAUAUUUGUAUGCAUAUUUAUGUAGCGAAAUACAUGUACUAUUAUUAUUGACGCACCAACUACCGCGUUUAACGCGCAUUUCCUACGUUUUAUUCUCGUUUAAUUUUAAUCCAUUCAAUUCUAUAUUAUAUUUAUUAGAUUUAUUUCUUUUAAAUUGCGAAAUAAAAAAAGAUGACCAUUAUAUGUAGACACUCUAUAUAUAUAAGAUUAGAAUUACCAAUCGAACGAACAUGUGUUUAGAGUAACCUAUUUUAGGGGAAGUAGUGCGUUUAUUGAUUUUUCUUCGUAAUUCUUAAGCUUCUUAUUAAACUUGCAUCAAAUCUUUCUUAACUUUUAAGAAAUCAAACAUAUCACAAAAGCAAUACAUUGUUUUUUUUUAAAUUAGUUUAAUUUAAAGUCAUUUUUACUUUUCUUUCCAAAAUCCCUUAUUCAUAUUUUUAAAUUAAAAUUACUUAGAUUCAGGAAAAUUCCUGUUAUAAAAAUACAAAGCAUUGAUAAAAAGCUAGUAAGUUAAAUAAAAUUUAAUUCAGUUGAAAAAUUUUAUUAACAACUCCUUUUUUCUCUACAUAAAAUAGUAACAAAUGAACAGACUUAGCAUAUGAUAGCAACUAAGGGCGCGUUCUACUUAACGUUCGCAACGCUCGUGGAAUCAUGUCAUUCUUGUUGUUUGCCAAAUAUUAAACAAGGACAAAUAAUACUCGAAUUGUUACGAGCAUUAAAUGGAAUGCGCCUUAUAUACAUAUAACACACAGACACACAAAAUAAAAAAA